rnacentral:rRNA from 1 species
UACAGAGGUCCCAAGCGUUGUUCGGAUUCACUGGGCGUAAAGGGUGCGUAGGUGGCGAGGUAAGUCGGAUGUGAAAGCUCGGAGCUCAACUCCGAAAUGGCAUUGGAAACUACCUUGCUCGAGGGUUGGAGGGGGGACUGGAAUUCUCGGUGUAGCAGUGAAAUGCGUAGAUAUCGUAAGGAAGACCAGUGGCGAAGGCGGGUCUCUGGACAGUUCCUGACGCUGAGGCACGAAGGCCAGGGGAGCAAACGGG